AUGGGCGAAAGCCUGAUGCAGCAACGCCGCGUGAGGGAUGACGGCCUUCGGGUUGUAAACCUCUUUUAGCAGGGAAGAAGCGAGAGUGACGGUACCUGCAGAAAAAGCGCCGGCUAACUACGUGCCAGCAGCCGCGGUAAUACGUAGGGCGCAAGCGUUAUCCGGAAUUAUUGGGCGUAAAGAGCUCGUAGGCGGUUUGUCGCGUCUGCUGUGAAAACUGGAGGCUCAACCUCCAGCCUGCAGUGGGUACGGGCAGACUAGAGUGCGGUAGGGGAGAUUGGAAUUCCUGGUGUAGCGGUGGAAUGCGCAGAUAUCAGGAGGAACACCGAUGGCGAAGGCAGAUCUCUGGGCCGUAACUGACGCUGAGGAGCGAAAGGGUGGGGAGCGAACAGGCUUAGAUACCCUGGUAGUCCACCCCGUAAACGUUGGGAACUAGUUGUGGGGGCCUUUCCACGGUCUCCGUGACGCAGCUAACGCAUUAAGUUCCCCGCCUGG
rnacentral:rRNA from 1 species